rnacentral:rRNA from 1 species
AAUCAACGCUGGCGGCGUGCCUAACACAUGCAAGUCGCACGAGAAAGGGUAGCAAUACCUGAGUACAGUGGCGCACGGGUGAGUAACACGUGAAUCAUCUACCUUCGAGUGGGGGAAUAACUGGGAGAAAUCUCAGCUAAUACCGCAUAAUACCUACGGGUCAAAGCAGCAAUGCGCUUGAAGAGGAGUUCGCGGCAGAUUAGUUAGUUGGCGGGGUAAUGGCCCACCAAGACGAUGAUCUGUAUCCGGCCUGAGAGGGCGCACGGACACACUGGAACUGAAACACGGUCCAGACUCCUACGGGAGGCAGCAGUGGGGAAUUUUGCGCAAUGGGGGAAACCCUGACGCAGCAACGCCGCGUGGAGGAUGGAAAUCCCUUGGGAUGUAAACUCCUUUCGAUCGGGACGAUUAUGACGGUACCGGAAGAAGAAGCCCCGGCUAACUUCGUGCCAGCAGCCGCGGUAAU